UGUAUGGGAUGAAGGCCUUCGGGUUGUAAACCACUGUCGGGAGUUAAGAAUGGUAGGAAUGCUAAUAGUAUUUCUACUUGACUAAGGCUCCGGAGGAAGCCACGGCUAACUCUGUGCCAGCAGCCGCGGUAAUACAGAGGCGGCAAGCGUUGUUCGGAAUUAUUGGGCGUAAAGAGCAUGUAGGCGGCUAUGUAAGUCGGUUGUGAAAGCCUUCCGCUUAACGGAAGAAUGGCGGUCGAAACUGCAUGGCUUGAGUGCGGGAGGGGAGAGUGGAACUUCUGGUGGAGCGGUGAAAUGCGUAGAUAUCAGAAGGAACGUCGGCGGCGAAAGCGACUCUCUAGACCGUAACUGACGCUGAGUGUGCGAAAGCUAGGGGAGCAAACGGGAUUAGAUACCCCGGUAGUCCUAGCCGUAAACGAU
rnacentral:rRNA from 1 species